rnacentral:rRNA from 1 species
GACGAACGCUGGCGGCGUGCUUAACACAUGCAAGUCGAACGGAAAGGCCCUGCUUUUGUGGGGUGCUCGAGUGGCGAACGGGUGAGUAACACGUGAGUAACCUGCCCUUGACUUUGGGAUAACUUCAGGAAACUGGGGCUAAUACCGGAUAGGAGCUCCUGCUGCAUGGUGGGGGUUGGAAAGUUUCGGCGGUUGGGGAUGGACUCGCGGCUUAUCAGCUUGUUGGUGGGGUAGUGGCUUACCAAGGCUUUGACGGGUAGCCGGCCUGGGAGGGUGACCGGCCACAUUGGGACUGAGAUACGGCCCAGACUCCUACGGGAGGCAGCAGUGGGGAAUAUUGCACAAUGGGCGGAAGCCUGAUGCAGCAACGCCACGUGCGGGAUGACGGCCUUCGGGUUGUAAACCGCUUUCGCCUGUGACGAAGCGUGAGUGACGGUAAUGGGUAAAGAAGCACCGGCUAACUACGUG